rnacentral:rRNA from 1 species
UACAGAGGGUGCAAGCGUUAUUCGGAAUCACUGGGCAUAAAGGGCGCGUAGGCGGCCUAAUAAGUCUGUUGUGAAAGCCCUCGACUUAAUCGAGGAAGUGCAGUGGAUACUGUUAGGCUAGAGUACAGGAGAGGAGAACGGAAUUCCUGGUGUAGAGGUGAAAUUCGUAGAUAUCAGGAGGAACAACGGUGGCGAAGGCGGUUCUCUGGACUGUAACUGACGCUGAGUGCGCGAAAGCGUGGGGAGCAAACAGG